AGUGUUCACUGUGAUCCUUGAUUUAUAUUCUAAAACAAUUAAGGCACGCGGUGAAUGCCAA
rnacentral:pre_miRNA from 1 species